UACAGAGGUCUCAAGCGUUGUUCGGAUUCAUUGGGCGUAAAGGGUGCGUAGGCGGCGCGGUAAGUCGGGUGUGAAAUCUCGGGGCUUAACUCCGAAACUGCAUUCGAUACUGCCGUGCUUGAGGACUGGAGAGGAGACUGGAAUUCAUGGUGUAGCAGUGAGAUGCGUAGAGAUCAUGAGGAAGACCAGUGGCGAAGGCGGGUCUCUGGACAGUUCCUGACACUGAGGCACGAAGGCCAGGGGAGCAAACGGG
rnacentral:rRNA from 1 species